GUGGGAUAGAGUACCAUCAUGGUUGAAGCGAUCGUAUACUGUAAGUGGGACAAAAGGGGGAAUUACAUGGAGGGGAGAGGGCUGGAGGUCGAGGUAGCGACAAUGGUGUUGAAGGAGGAUGAGGGGGGCAAAAGAGUGGGGUGGCAUGUGCUUGACCUAUAGGACACGCCUUCGUUCUCCUCAAACCUCGUUCAUGAUCUUGAUUCGCCCUCCUCAAAUCUUAUCGAUGACCCCGAUGCC
rnacentral:lncRNA from 1 species